rnacentral:snRNA from 12 species
AGUGCUUCUAGCUUCAUAGCUAUGAUCAAAAGUGUAAGAACUGUUCUUCUCAGUUUAAUCGCUGGGACAAAGUUCAUUGAUCUUAAUUCGAGAUUAAAUUGAUUUUUGUAACUUUACAGACACUCCAAGGCUUGCCAAGCUCUGUCGUAGUGGACCUUACAUUGCAUUACAGUUUGGUCUGCUUGUUUAA